rnacentral:miRNA from 1 species
GUGAGCAAAGUUUCGAGCGUUU